rnacentral:rRNA from 1 species
GACGAACGCUGGCGGCGUGCUUAACACAUGCAAGUCGAACGGAAAGGCCCUGCUUUCGUGGGGUGCCCGAGUGCCGAACGGGUGAGUAACACGUGAGUAACCUGCUCUUCACUUUGGGAUAACUUCAGGAAACUGGGGCUAAUACCGGAUAGGAUCUCCUGCUGCAUGGUGGGGGGUGGAAAGUUUCGGCGGGUGGGGAUGGACUCGCGGCUGAUCAGCUUGUUGGUGGGGUAGUGGCUUACCAAGGCUUUGAAGGGUAGCCGGCCUGAGAGGGUGACCGGCCACAUGGGGACUGAGAGACGGCCCAGACUCCUACAGGAGGCAGCAGUGGGGAAUAUUGCACAAUGGGCGGAAGCCUGAUGCAGAAACGCCGCGUGCGGGAUGACGGCCUUCGGGUUGUAAACCGCUUUAGCUUGUGACGAAGCGUGAGUGACGGUAAUGGGUAAAGAAGCACCGGCUAACUACGUG